UGAACGCUAGCGGCAGGCCUAAUACAUGCAAGUCGAACGGUAACAGUUCUUUCGAGAAGCUGACGAGUGGCGCACGGGUGCGUAACGCGUAUGCAACCUACCCUAUACAGGGGGAUAGCCCGGAGAAAUUUGGAUUAAUACCCCAUGGGACUAUAUGAUGGCAUCAUUAUAUAGUUAAAGAUUUAUUGGUAUAGGAUGGGCAUGCGUUAGAUUAGUUAGUUGGUGAGGUAAUGGCUCACCAAGGCGACGAUCUAUAGGGGUUCUGAGAGGAUGAUCCCCCACACUGGCACUGAGAUACGGGCCAGACUCCUGCGGGAGGCAGCAGUAGGGAAUAUUGGUCAAUGGGCGAGAGCCUGAACCAGCCAUGCCGCGUGCAGGAAGACGGCCUUCUGGGUUGUAAACUGCUUUUAUAUGGGAAGAAAAAGGUCUUGCGAGACAAAUUGCCGGUACCAUAUGAAUAAGCACCGGCUAACUCCGUGCCAGCAGCCGCGGUAAU
rnacentral:rRNA from 1 species